rnacentral:rRNA from 1 species
GUCCCAUCAGCUAGUUGGUAAGGUAAUGGCCUACCAAGGCAAUGACGGGUAGGGGACCUGAAAGGGUGGCCCCCCACAAUGGAACUGAAACACGGUCCAUACACCUACGGGUGGCAGCAGUAGGGAAUAUUAUAAAUGGACGAAAGUCUGAUCUAGCGACACCGCGUGUGCGAUGAAGGCCUUCGGGUUGUAAAGCACUUUUUGGAAGGAAUAGGAAGGAAGGUACUUCCAGAAUAAAUCUCGGCUAACUACGUGCCACCAGCCGCGGUAACACGUAGGAGGCAAACGUUAUCCGGAUUUACUGGGCGUAAAACGCGUGUAGGUGGUUCUGUAAAUAGGGCGUGAAAACUCCCGGCUCAACUGGGAGAGGCCGUUCUUAACUGCCGAGCUAGAGGAUGGUAGAGGGAGGUGGAAUUCCAGGUGUAGCGGUGGAAUGCGCAGAUAUCUGGAGGAACACACAGUGGCGAAAGCGGCCUCCUGGACCAUUCCUGACACUCUACACGAAAGCUAGGGUAGCAAACGGGAUUAUAGACCCCGGUAGUCCUAGCCCUAAACGAUGUAGACUAAACGUCGGUGGUGGAAUAGCUGUCGGUGUCCAAGCUACGCGAUAAAUCUACCGCCUGGGGGACUACGCCGCCAGGUUAAACUCACAAGGAAUUGACGGGUCCCCGCCACAAGCAGCGGAGCGUGUGGGUUUAUUUUCGUUGCUACCACAAAGAAACCUUUACCUCGGGGUUUGGACAUAUACAUUGGUGAGGGAGGAAAAAUUCUGGAACGCGACCCCCUCUGGGGAGCUGUUAACAGUGUUGCAUG